ensembl:snoRNA SNORD79 Small nucleolar RNA SNORD79
UCCAGUAAAUGAUGUUUCAUUUCAAUGGGAAUCUCUCUGACUAAAUGUGAAGGAAAUUCUGGUGUUAUCUGAUACUGUU